UCGAGAAUCUUCGGCAAUGGGCGAAAGCCUGACCGAGCGAUGCCGCGUGCGGGAUGAAGGCCUUCGGGUUGUAAACCGCUGUCGUAGGGGAGAAAGGGUCGUUGAAGAAACGACUUUGAUCUAUCCUAGGAGGAAGUCCGGGCUAAGUUCGUGCCAGCAGCCGCGGUAACACGAACCGGACAAACGUUAUUCGGAAUUACUGGGCUUAAAGGGUGCGUAGGCGGUGCGGUAAGUGCGGUGUGAAAUCCCACGGCUCAACCGUGGAAUUGCGCUGCAUACUGCCGUGCUAGAGGGAGACAGGGGUAAGCGGAACUGAUGGUGGAGCGGUGAAAUGCGUUGAUAUCAUCAGGAACACCGGUGGCGAAAGCGGCUUACUGAGUCUCUUCUGACGCUGAGGCACGAAAGCUAGGGUAGCGAACGGGAUUAGAUACCCCUGUAGUCCCUGAG
rnacentral:rRNA from 1 species